rnacentral:rRNA from 1 species
ACAUACGAUCAUAGGACUAUGAAAACAGAGCUUCCCGUCCGCUCAGCUGUACUUAAGCAUAGUACCGGCGGAUUAGUAGUUAGGUGGGUGACCACUAGCGAAUACCUGCUGUUGUAUGUUU